AUCAUUAAGCGGAGGAAAAGAAACUAACAAGGAUUCCCUCAGUAACGGCGAGUGAAGCGGGAUAAGCCCAGCACCGAAUCCCCCAGCCUGUCGUUGGCGGGAACUGUGGUGUAUGGGACGCCAACUGUCGUCCGCGCCGGUGGCCGAAGUCCUCCUGAUCGGGGCCUCUCCCAGAGUGGGUGUCAGGCCUUUACUGGCCACUGUCCGGUCGGCCGCGAGCGUCUCCGGAGUCGGGUUGUUUGGGAAUGCAGCUCUAAGCGGGUGGUAAACUCCAUCUAAGGCUAAAUACUGGCACGAGUCCGAUAGCGGACAAGUACCGUGAGGGAAAGUUGAAAA
rnacentral:rRNA from 1 species